GCCCGGCGGCCGCGAGGGGCGGGGCGACGCCGGCCGCUUCCCGGCCCGGGCGCAGCGCCUGGGCCUCCCGCAGCCCGGGAGAAGGCGCCCCGCCAGCUUGGGGCUCUCACCGACCCGACCGAGAAAGCCUCCCCCAGCCAGGCCCCCGGCGCAGAACGCUGCGAGGGCGGGAAGGCUCAGGCUCCGGGAGCGGACCGGCCCUCUGCAGACUCGGGAAGCGAGUCGGGACCACACGCUCUGGAUCAGGCGCAGGACGGGGAAGGAUGAAUUCUAGGAACAGCAGAGGUUAAGAGGAGGAAGAAGUCACUGUGAGAAAGACAGCUUCUGGGUAAGAGAGACAGAGGGGACCCGGAAAGUGGGGUGCCGGGGCCCCUGCUCUUCAAGGGGGUUUGAAGAACAAAAAAGCCACGAGGUGAGGCGGGUUCCCCUUCCCUUAUGGUGGAACAAAACUACAGUCAACUAAUAAGGUGACAAGUACAGUCGCUUAGGUACUAUUGAUUAAGCGGGGAUCCGGUCACGCAGCAAGCAUUCAUCUAGGGCAAGUGUACGGGUGUGGUCUUUCUUCCUUGUCUUGAGCCUGACCUUCAACAAAGCGUCUCCAGCCAGAGCUGUGAUGUGUUCCUGUCUUCCACCUUGACUCUGAGAGCAGAGUAUGUGCACUGCUGAGCUGUCUUCAAUACGGGGCGGCCGGGCCAGGUGGGCAUGGGGGCCGGAGCUCCAGGAGAGAGAGGAGAGGCCCAGCUGCCCUGGCCAGUGGCUGCUUGCUCAAACCCUCCUGUCGUGCUGCUGACCUCGCUCUGCUUGAAGGGCGGAGGACCCAUCUGCCCUCCAGCCACAGGUUGAUGGGGAAGAGGUAUCUGGGGGAGGGAGGUCCGGGCCUUCUUCCAGCCCCACAGAAUCUGCCCUCUGCUCCCCCAGCAGUGCCAAGGCCUGCAACUUCCUGGGGACCCAGCCAGGACCUCACUGUGAUCAUUGAUCUUUAUCAAGGACAGAAGAGACCUGCUUGGUGGCAGGGAGCCCAGGCCCUGGCAGUGGGCCAAGUGGGUGAAAGGCUGGCCCGAGAGGGGGACGGGGCCAGGUGUGUGUGCAGCUGAUGGGCAGCGCCUUCCCUGAGCCCACACAGUGGCCUGCCCGCCCUCUUCUCUUCCUUCCUUCCUCUCUCCCCCCUUUCUUGCAGUGCUGGAGCUCGAAGACAAGGCCUUCACACUGAGCUACAUCCCAGCUAUUCAUUCACUCAUUUUUAUUCUUGACAAAGACUCUUACUAAGACUCUAAAUUGCCCAUGCUGGGCUCCAGCUUACAACCCUCCUGCUUCAGCCUCCCGAGCGCUGCGUUGACAGGCCUGGCUCUGAUGGCGCCUGGGAAACGGACUCAUCAGAGGGGCUGUGAAGAGGACUCACAGGCAGGGGGCAGGAGGGGGACAGGAUGGAGACUGGGAGGCAGCGGCUGAGUGACUGCUCAGCCUGUCGUUGGUGGGUAACUGGCCGCACGGCCUCAGCCUCUAAGAACACCUUCCAAGCGGUUCCCAAGCCUCAUGGUCAGCCCACUGGAAUUUCACGAAUGGCCCGUCCUUGCCAACUCUAACUUGGCUCUCCAUGACUGUGAAAUAGCAGGGGAAAUCAGCUUAUAAGGAGAAAAGGCUGGAUUUGACUGUUUCAGAGGUCCGGGCUGCAUCCCCAGGCAAGGAAGAGGAAGGGGCGGGUUCCAGGCCUGAGGCCACGCCCCCAUGAACUGAAGACUCCCCAUAGGCCCCACCCCUUAAAGUGCUAGCGCCUCCCAACAGGGCUGCACUGGGAGCAGGCCUGGGUGUGGCAGAAACCCCUCCGCAGGCUGGCGGUUUAGGUGUGCAAAUAACUCUGGGGUCGUGGACAAAGGCACUUACAUGGUGUCCGGGGCCUCCAGACACUGCUCUUGCCAUCCCUCCAGUGACCUCAGCCAUCACAGCGAGGCAGAAGCAGGAUUACCUCUCCACCUUUGCCAGCAGAGGCCCAGGGACACAAGGGCAAAGGGAUGCCCACCCCAGGCCCGAAGUGCCCUCUCCACCUGCCUCUCAGAGGCCACCAGCCAGGGCCUGCACCUUUCACUCUGCACCCCGAGAUGCCCGCUGUCUGGCUUCUCCGCAGCGCACAGCCCAGUGCCAGCCUGGCAGACUGUCCUCGCUUUGUACUGGGGACCCAGGGUGACACAGGGCAAAGGGCCUGGAAAGAGUGAUGCCUUGUUAGUGUUCAAGGAGAUGCAAUCUGAAGCGGUGGUGCAUCCGUCAGUCAGAUGGCGGGAUUGACGGCGCCCACGCUUGGAAAUGGUGGGACAGGCAGUGUAAUCCCAUCUCUGGGCUCAGCGCGAGGACUUCACUUACAAGGAGGCCCAGGCCCAGCGGGCCGGACCAGCCCGCAGAACAGAGGGAUGGAGGCGAGGCUAGGCUCUGACGCAAAGGUCAGCAGGGGACACCCAAGGCACACACAGGCGGGAAGCGGCCCACAGGCGCUUCCAGGAGACCCUCGGGCUGCAGAGCCGUGUCCCGGGCCCUGCACCCUCUGUUGCACCUGUGCCCUCAGAUCCCUGCAGCCGGCUGAGGCUCCCAGGCUCCAGCCUUGGUCCCCCACAGCCGCCACCAGGGUGCACACGCCAAGGAGCGGGUGUCACUUUAUUGACCUCAGGUCACGCUGGGGACACUAAAGCUCAACGAAGCUAAAUAACUGGCAAAACUAGUUUAACCAUAGGGUUUAUUCCAGAGCAGUUUGUACAGCGACCACUUCCGCACUCCGUGGCCCUUCCCAUCGGCAACCCGCAGAUGCUGAGCCGGCUGCGGGCCCCUCCGGGGCUGCCCUGGCUGCCAUCGGUGCAGUGAAUGGAAAAGCACUUUUUCUUUCUCUCUUUCUUUUUUUUGGGGGGGUUUGAGACAGGGUCUCACUAUGUAGUCCACGUUAGCCUUGAACUCGUUAUGUAACCCAGGCUGGCCUGGAACUCAUGGCGAUCCUCCUGCCUCAGCUUCCUGAGUGCUGGGACCACAGGUGUGAGGCACCAUGCCCAGCCAGAAGAGCACUUUUAGCAUCAUUACUGGUGCGGUUAGACCACACACCCCCGUCUUGCUGCGGACGGACCUGUACCCAGAGCCUGUGUGCUGGGGGUGUGGGGACUUGGCAUCUGAUCCACUCCUCUGAUCCCAGCACACUGGACACUGGAGUCCCGAAGCCAGGGGUUGCCGGGCCAGGACUGGCACCACCUGUCUUCCGGCUUCGAUUCCAGGCUCUUUCCCCAGGGGCCUGUAGGACUCUGCAGAGCAGAGCAGACUAAGACGUCGCUGCUGCACCUCAGUGUCUGCCUCGUGUGCCAGGCGGGGUGCAGAUGUCACCCUCUGAGCCUGCUGGGUGUGACUCUCCUCCCCCGAGGCUGGGAGGCCACAGGGUGUGCCUGGAACCUGGGCAGAGCUGGGCAGAGAGAAGUAAGGGUGGUGCUGGCACGGAAGCCCAAGGGGCCAGGCCAAGGGCAAGGUGGCAGGUCGUGGAGGGCAGCCUGGGAGGAGAGAGAAACUGGCCCAGAGCAGGCGAGUCCCGAGUCACAGGUGCGAGUGCCCGCUGUUUCUAGGGUAGGAUGACCUGUUCCGAAGAAAGGGUGCCCAGGCACACGGUCCCCUCUUCCUGGAAAUGCAUGACAUCUUAGCACAAGCACACACCCUGUCGUGAAAACGCGGCACUGCAGGGCCAGCCAGUGUGUCUGGGUGAUGCUGUUGGCAGGACCAGCCAGGUCCACGCUCUGCCCCAGGACGGGUUCGAGCUCAGCUCUAGCUCCCUUCUCCAUGGCUCCCCCAUGGACCUCCCACAUCUGGGUCCUCUGGGAACCCUGGCCAGUUGAUCCCGGCUCGGAGAGGCUGCCAGUGGUGGGGAGGGCAGCCACAGGCGUCUGGGCCCUACUGCUCCGUGGAAGCACCCUCUGCUGUCCCCUCCGAGUGCUUCCUCUCCCACUGGGGUGCCUCUGGUCCACCACCUGCAUCGGCUCUCAAGGCCUUCGCCCUCCGCUGCCUUCCUCACUUUCUGGCUGUUCUCGCUCCUCCAGUCCCUUCCUCCCAGCCAACUGGCGUGGACCCUGGUGCCCGGUGUGGCAGGGACCCCAGUCCAGCCCCGCUCCUGCUGCAGCCUGGUCUGAAGCUGCUCCUCUGAGUCCAAAGCAUCUGACAAAGACUCUGCUGCCUCUGCGGCCCACUGAGAACCAGUGCCUUGUGGAUGGGGCCGCGUCUCACUGUGCCGGACCCUGGCCCUGGCCUGUGCAGUUGGGGAGAGCUCCAGGGCAGGGAGGCUGCUGCUGGGGACUCCCGGAAAGAGCGGGGUGGCUGGAGACCCUGUGGCCAGAGCUGCCAGACUCCUCCAGGUGAGGGCGAGCUGGAGGGCGCGGUGGCUCCUGCUUGUCCGCAUCUCGCCUGCAUGCGGGGACCCGUCCUGCCCUCUUCCAUCAGGGCGCUGCAGUGGUCCGCACUGUGCCCACCUAGUUCCGCUGAGCUGCACUCCCAGACCCCUGCCCGUGGGCCCUGGGUGGGCGGCAGCCACACGAGGCCCCUGUGGGAGAUCUCUGAGGCGGAAGUGAGGCUCAGCAGUUCAGUUCUGGGGCUCAGGGAGGCCAGGCCGGGCACCCCGCAAUCUGUCACUGGCCUGCUGCCCACCCUGCUGGCUGGGGGCAGCCAGGGGCUUCAGUCUCCAGCACCUGCACCCAGUGCGUGCCACUCCGGCUGGGGCCCCCGGUCGCCCCACUGGUCCUCUAGAACCUGGAGAUGGAGCUCUUCUGUGCCCCCUGACCCCCAGGGGACCCUGGCCCAGUGGGGACAGAGGUGACCCUCUCAGCACCAGCAAGGGACCAGCCUAUAUUCUCCAUGCCCCCAGAGGCCCCGCCUCACUGAGGACCCAGUGGACGCUGUCACCCUCGGGUCUUAGACGCCGGACUUCACCCAGUGGGAGGACCCCGUGGCAGGACAGGCGCAAAGCCACUGUGACCUUGGGCUGUGUCUGCCCCAGCUGAGAGGGACCUUUGGGCUCUGACCACCAGUGGCUCAACCAAACAAGCGCAGUUAUUUUUCUUCCCUUUUAUCCUGAGGUCAAAGGCCCCCGGCCCUCGGGGUGGCAGGGGACAGUGCCACAGCCUCUAUGCUGUCUGCAGGAAAGAGCUCUUGGGGUCUCAUGUUCAGCCUGUCACAGGUGGGCAGGUUCAUAAAACACAGCAGAGAUGCAUCUAUGGGAAAUGAAAUGCAGUCCUGUGGAGAGAGAAUCGUGUCAGCGGAGCCUAGGGCAGAGGAGGGGACAGAGCGCAGUGAAGAGCUCUGGUUUUCUCGGCACCUGGGUAGCCGUGUCCCCUGCGGUUGAUGAUAUGUUUCAAAAUAACCAGAUGGUCCAGAGCGCCCCGGCACAGGAUGAUAUGUGUUUGAAGAGGCAGAAAUAUAAUCACUGCGGUUCAAUCAUUCUGCAGGGCAGGCAGGUGUUGAAUGAUAGUACUGAACCCCAUAAACAUCUACAAAUAUGAUGCGUCCAGCUUUGAACUUUUGUCUUCCUUGUGCCCAGGGGCUCACUCAGACCAGACAAGUGCUCUACCUGUGACCCACACCCACCGCCUUUAUUGUUUUUUAUUUUCCUCAAUUGCCCAGGAUGGCCUGGAAUUUGCAGCCUUCCUGCCUCAGCCUCCUAGUAGCUGAGAUCCCAGGUGUGGCGACCAGGCCAGUUUAAAGAAAAAUGAAAUGCAAUAAGGAAUUAAGAUUACCAGCUCCUCGCAGUGAAUGUAGUCAUUAUGUACUUGCAACCACGUACUAAUAAAAAUAAAAGUUUAAAAACA